UCCAACAAUUCCAAAACCAAAUUCGCCUUUUCCAAAUAAAAAUGAAAAUAAAUACCACAGAAAUAGACGUUGCCAAAUUUACGAUGUUGAAAUCGACGUUGCCAAAUUUUUAUAUUUUUUUUAUCAGUGUUGCCAGGUCCGAAAAGCUGAAAAAGAAUCUGAGAGCAAAAUAUUAAUCGUCACAGAACUCAGACAGAUGAUAAAGUACAAUGGAAAUAGAAAAAUAAAACGAAACAUUUGUUUCAGUUCGCUCACUCUCCUUCUGAAGUUCUGAUAAUUCAAGCCUCAAGGACCAAACAGAGCAAAAUCGAAGGCCCGAAAAGCUAAGUAAGUUUCUGAGAAGUGACAGUGAAUUGAAUUGAAUGAAUUUAUUUACAGCGUUAUAGCUUUUUACCAGCAAUAUGCUUUUACAGAAUUAUCAAAAAGUGUUCUAGCGCUCAACUUGCAGUUUUAUAGUACCUAUGCUGUAAAACUGCAUUGCUGUAAAUUCUGGAAGUUGUAAGUUUCUGGAAGCGCUCGAACAUAUUCCUAAUCUCUUUUUUGUUUUUUUUUUUCAGCAGCUAUUCAGCAAGUGUAAUUAGUGUUGGGCAAAUUCGCGAAUAUUCUUUUUUUGCUUGCGCAUGCGCAAGAAUAUGCGCAUAUUCUUGCGCAUAUUCCGCAGAUUCUUUUCAAAAAAUUAGAAAAUUAUUGCCUAGUUUAGAGAUAAUAGGGAAAAGGUUUUGGUAACUUUCAAAUUAUUGAGGAAAAUUGGAAAUUUAUAAAGAAAAGUAGUUGUAAAACUUGUAAAUUGUGGAAAAUUGUAGAAAAAUCUUCAAA